CGCAGGAUGGGCGUGUCCAUAGAGUAGCCAUAAUUAUUAGCGCACCAAAACCCUUAAACCUGAACGAGUAGGAAUAUGUCAGGUCUUAGCUUCGGAGCUGGUGGGGAAUGUGGGGCAAGUUGGGGGGCUGUUGGGAGAGCAGACGCAGGACAUGGCGAGGGGUCUCCAUGUGAGAACUCUGGUUGCGAAGAAUCGCGUAGGGCUGGUGGGCAGGGUGGCUGGGCUGGGGCACGGCAAGAUCAGCCCGGACGCCUUCCCCACACACGCCCCAGAGGUAGCUGGGGGCCACCUUUCCUCCCCGAGAGGGGCGAGACGGGUCUGAAUCGUGAGCCCAGGGCAGGGUAGGAACGCGCCGUCCCUUCCCUAGGGCUCUACGCUCAAGGCUACGGGAGUCGCCUCAAAAGCGCCAAAGCAGCAGGCACCACAAUGCCCCCCAGAGGCUUCCAGAAAAACUACCGGAAACCAGAAAGAAUGUGGCUUGAAUCUUGCCUCAGAGACGCGCCGGCAAAGCCCAUCGAUUUCUCCGAGCCUUAGCGUGCACAUCUACAAAAUGGGCAUAAAUAAUCGCAUUCCCUUCGCAGAGUUGAAACAUCAUGGGCUGUUCUCCCAGCAGGGAGGGAGGCAGUACCAGCAGAGAUCUCAUUCGUAUGAAAUGUCACCAAUUUUGAAAAAUAGGAUCAUGGAGACCGCCAUGGCUGCCACCUGAAGAGGAAGAGCACAGUGAUAAUAUCUUCAAUAUUGGGUUUGAAUUACUCUUGAAAAUUAGCCUAGAAAUAAAUUUCUGAUAAGUGUACCAUUACCUUCCCAGUAAUUCAGAUUUACAGUUAUUCCUGACCUUUCCUGAUCACCAUCAGCUUCCAAAUCCAAGCAGCUGUCCACUUCCAUCGAUGUUAAUACCACAGAAUUUCUCAUAUCUAUUCCCUUUCCCCAGUGUCCCUAGGUAACUGAUUACUGUGGUACUUUCCUAAUUAGUCUUCCUGCUUCUACUCUCUUUUUCCCAAAUAUCUCCUCCACACAGCUGUCACACUCCCCACUAACUCCCCUUUCACACCAGGCUCUAAUGAAGAAAUGGCCAAAUCUUCUAUCUGCACCUUGAUCCCACCCUAACUUGUCUCCUCCAGCAGAUUGCCCCCCCCAUUAUUACUACUCUUUCUCCAAUAUUUUUUUGUCCUUUGGGUUCCUUUCCUGCUACCUACACAUAAUUCCGAGCCUCUUUUCUCCCUAAAAAAAUUCACUAAAAAUUGACUUCAAAUCCAA